rnacentral:lncRNA from 1 species
GAUUGAUUUAUGAGGUAUUGAUUAUGUAAUUGGAAUAUUGAGUGAUUGAAUUAUAUGAAGAGUUAUCGGAAGAUUAUGACUGUUGUUUAUUGAGAGCUAUGUGUGUUUCGACAAAAAAAGUCUGUGAUUACAGAUUGUUGGAGUGAAGUUUGUUAUUCUUGGUGUUGGAUGGAAAUUAUUUUGUUUUGAGUGGUAUUUUGAGAGUGCAAGGUUGCACAUUGUUGUUAUCAGGUGAUGAGUAUUGUUACUGGGAGAAAGCAUCGUAGUAUUUUUUAGUGUUCUAGUGGUUCGAAAUACAGUUAAUUGUAUGACCAUAACAAGU